GACGUAGGGCGCGAGCGUUGUCCGGAUUUAUUGGGCGUAAAGAGCUCGUAGGCGGCUUGUCGCGUCGGCUGUGAAAUCCCGUGGCUCAACUGCGGGUCUGCAGCCGAUACGGGCAGGCUAGAGUUCGGUAGGGGAGACUGGAAUUCCUGGUGUAGCGGUGAAAUGCGCAGAUAUCAGGAGGAACACCGAUGGCGAAGGCAGGUCUCUGGGCCGAUACUGACGCUGAGGAGCGAAAGCGUGGGGAGCAAACAGG
rnacentral:rRNA from 1 species